rnacentral:rRNA from 1 species
GACGUAGGGCGCGAGCGUUGUCCGGAUUUAUUGGGCGUAAAGAGCUCGUAGGCGGCUUGUCGCGUCGACUGUGAAAUCCCGCGGCUCAACUGCGGGUCUGCAGUCGAUACGGGCAGGCUAGAGUUCGGUAGGGGAGACUGGAAUUCCUGGUGUAGCGGUGAAAUGCGCAGAUAUCAGGAGGAACACCAGUGGCGAAGGCGGCUACCUGGACCGGUUCUGACGCUGAGGCGCGAAAGCGUGGGUAGCAAACAGG